GUGUGUGAUAAGGCCGCAGGGUUGUGUUUGAUGUAUUUUUCAUGUGCUGAGGCUACUGCAGGAGGAUGAGGAGGGAGGAAGGCAGGAAGGACGCCGGCAGCUGAUGCACUUGAAUGGGAUUCUAGUUGAAGGAGAAUGGGGAUAAAAGUGUGUGUGUGUGUGUGUGUGUGUGCGCGCGCGCGUUCAUGUGUGUGUUUUGAGGGUUGCUCUUCCUGCCAGCAGCAACAACAUGUCAGGAGGGAUGAGAGACGCUGAACUUGUUAAAUCUGUGUGAUGUAGCCUCUCUGCAUACCAUACACACACACUCCCUGCAGCCUUCCUGAAUGGGGUCGCCUGGCACUGUUGCAUUGUGGGUAACACCUACCAAACACUGCAGGUUGAAUCAGAUGAACCUGGUGAUCAUGUCUGCAGCCUGACUGGAGGAUUUCAUCUGCUUGUUGUUUAAACUACAUUUCCCAGAAUGCACCAGAGGAACUUAUGAUAGGAGAAAGUUUAAUUCCAACAGCAGGCUGAGAUCUGGAGGUCAGCAGGUCAGGCAGCGACAGGUUAAAGGUCAGCCAGUGAUCUGCAGCAGGUCCAGACGGAGUGGCUGAGUAAAGCUCAGCUGUGACAGAACAUCAUGAGCUGCUGGGGCACGUGGCGAACACGUCCCUCUGGAAACAAAGGAAGCAUUCAAAGUUCCCACCAGAACAACCGAUUCCUGCUGGAACCGACCUCUGCAGAUCCUCCUGUCCUGCUCCAGCGCUCCAGUUCGGCCAGAUCACAGAAAUCCCUUCUGAUCAACUUCAGUUCAUUUAGAAAGUUAAAACAACAGAUUGAUUUUAUUUCUGAUAUUUCAUUCAUAUUCGGAAAGCAUGGGCUGCAGUUUGUAAAGUUAAACC